AACCUGUACAAUAGCCUUAGGCCAACGUGUGUGAACUGCUUCCAUGAACUCAUCAACAAUUGAUAGAUAUUCUUCCCCUUCUAACCUAGGUUGCCUUAGUCCCAAAUCUAGCCGGUCUUCCAGUAGCUUUUGAUUGUUAGUACCGACAUCUAACAUAACUGGGAGUAUCUGUAAGAGACAGAAAACUGAUUGACUAAUUGAAGUUAAACACAAGAUA